GCUCAGAACGAACGCUGGCGGCAGGCCUAACACAUGCAAGUCGAGCGCAGUCCUUCGGGACCGAGCGGCGGACGGGUUAGUAACGCGUGGGAACAUACCCUUUUCUACGGAAUAGCCUCGGGAAACUGAGAGUAAUACCGUAUAAGCCCUUCGGGGGAAAGAUUUAUCGGGAAAGGAUUGGCCCGCGUUAGAUUAGAUAGUUGGUGGGGUAAUGGCCUACCAAGUCUACGAUCUAUAGCUGGUUUUAGAGGAUGAUCAGCAACACUGGGACUGAGACACGGCCCAGACUCCUACGGGAGGCAGCAGUGGGGAAUCUUAGACAAUGGGCGCAAGCCUGAUCUAGCCAUGCCGCGUGUGUGAUGAAGGUCUUAGGAUCGUAAAGCACUUUCGCCAGGGAUGAUAAUGACAGUACCUGGUAAAGAAACCCCGGCUAACUCCGUGCCAGCAGCCGCGGUAAUACGGAGGGGGUUAGCGUUGUUCGGAAUUACUGGGCGUAAAGCGUACGUAGGCGGAUCAGAAAGUAGGGGGUGAAAUCCCAGGGCUCAACCCUGGAACUGCCUCCUAAACUCCUGGUCUUGAGUUCGAGAGAGGUGAGUGGAAUUCCAAGUGUAGAGGUGAAAUUCGUAGAUAUUUGGAGGAACACCAGUGGCGAAGGCGGCUCACUGGCUCGAUACUGACGCUGAGGUACGAAAGUGUGGGGAGCAAACAGGAUUAGAUACCCUGGUAGUCCACACCGUAAACGAUGAAUGCCAGUCGUCGGGCAGUAUACUGUUCGGUGACACACCUAACGGAUUAAGCAUCCG
rnacentral:rRNA from 1 species